UAACGGCUCACCUAAGCGAGGGAUUCGCUUAGCUUGUUCUGGACGCAUUGACCAGUCACAUCAGAAUUACACUAUCGUUCCUAUAGUCCCUACGGGAGGCAGCAUUUGGUGAUAUUGGCACGAUGGGGCGGCAAGGCAUGAUGCAGCCAUUGCUGCGUGUAUGGAUGAGGCCUUUCGGGUUGUUAUAGUACUUUCAGCGGGGAGGGAAGGUGUUGAAGUUUAAUAACCUCAGCAUUUGACGUUACCAGCAGAAGAAGCACGGGCUAACUCCGUGCCAGCAGCCGUGGUAUUAGGGAGUGUGCUAGCGUUUAUCGGAAUUACUGGGCGUAAAGCGCACGCGGGCGGUCUGUCAAGUCGGAUGUGAAAUCCCCGGGCUCAACCUGGGAACUGCAUUCGAAACUGGCAGGCUAGAGUCUUGUAGAGGGGGGUAGAAUUCCAGGUGUAGCGGUGAAAUGCGUAGAGAUCUGGAGGAAUACCGGUGGCGAAGGCGGCCCCCUGGACAAAGACUGACGCUCAGGUGCGAAAGCGUGGGGAGCAAACAGGAUUAGAUACCCUGGUAGUCCACGCCGUAAACGAUGUCGACUUGGAGGUUGUUCCCUUGAGGAGUGGCUUCCGGAGCUAACGCGUUAAGUCGACCGCCUGGGGAGUACGGCCGCAAGGUUAAAACUCAAAUGAAUUGACGGGGGCCCGCACAAGCGGUGGAGCAUGUGGUUUAAUUCGAUGCAACGCGAAGAACCUUACCUACUCUUGACAUCCAGAGAACUUUCCAGAGAUGGAUUGGUGCCUUCGGGAACUCUGAGACAGGUGCUGCAUGGCUGUCGUCAGCUCGUGUUGUGAAAUGUUGGGUUAAGUCCCGCAACGAGCGCAACCCUUAUCCUUUGUUGCCAGCGGUCCGGCCGGGAACUCAAAGGAGACUGCCAGUGAUAAACUGGAGGAAGGUGGGGAUGACGUCAAGUCAUCAUGGCCCUUACGAGUAGGGCUACACACGUGCUACAAUGGCGCAUACAAAGAGAAGCGACCUCGCGAGAGCAAGCGGACCUCAUAAAGUGCGUCGUAGUCCGGAUUGGAGUCUGCAACUCGACUCCAUGAAGUCGGAAUCGCUAGUAAUCGUAGAUCAGAAUGCUACGGUGAAUACGUUCCCGGGCCUUGUACACACCGCCCGUCACACCAUGGGAGUGGGUUGCAAAAGAAGUAGGUAGCUUAACCUUCGGGAGGGCGCUACCACUU
rnacentral:rRNA from 1 species